UCGACUGUUUUACAAAAACAUUUCUUUAAAGAUUUAUUUAAAGUAAAGCCUGCCCGCUGAAAUUUGAAGGGCCGCGGUAUUUUGACCGUGCUAAGGUAGCAUAAUCACUAGUCUUUUAAUUAAGGAAUAGAAUGAAUGGCUAAACCCUUAAGUGUUGUUUUAGCAAUAAAAGUUCAAUUUUUAUUUUAAAUGAAAAUAUUUAAUUAAAAAAAAAAGACGAUAAGACCCUUUAGAGCUUUAUUUUUUGUUUAAGUUAUGCUUUAGGAGAAAAUUAAUUUUUAAUGUAAAAGUUUAGUUGGGGCAAUUUAAGAAUAAAUAAAACUUCUUAAAAUUAUAAAUAUCUUAAUAUUUAAAAAUUAAAAAGUUACCUAAGGGAUAACAGCGUAAUGAUUUUUGAGAGUUCAUAUCGACAAAAUUGUUUGCGACCUCGAUGUUGAAUUAAAAUUUCUUUUUGGGGCAGUAUUUAUAAGAGAUAGUCUGUUCGACUGUUAAUUUUUUACAUGAUUUGAGUUCAGACCGGA
rnacentral:rRNA from 1 species